AUUGAACGCUGGCGGCAUGCCUUACACAUGCAAGUCGAACGGCAGCACGGGUGGUUGCACCUGGUGGCGAGUGGCGAACGGGUGAGUAAUACAUCGGAACAUGUCCUGUAGUGGGGGAUAGCCCGGCGAAAGCCGGAUUAAUACCGCAUACGAUCUACGGAUGAAAGCGGGGGACCUUCGGGCCUCGCGCUAUAGGGUUGGCCGAUGGCUGAUUAGCUAGUUGGUGGGGUAAAGGCCUACCAAGGCGACGAUCAGUAGCUGGUCUGAGAGGACGACCAGCCACACUGGGACUGAGACACGGCCCAGACUCCUACGGGAGGCAGCAGUGGGGAAUUUUGGACAAUGGGCGAAAGCCUGAUCCAGCAAUGCCGCGUGUGUGAAGAAGGCCUUCGGGUUGUAAAGCACUUUUGUCCGGAAAGAAAUCCUUGGCCCUAAUACGGUCGGGGGAUGACGGUACCGGAAGAAUAAGCACCGGCUAACUACGUG
rnacentral:rRNA from 1 species